ACGAAGUUCGGAUAGCGCUAUCCACUGGAUAGUGAUUUUUUCAACCUUUAUCAAAAUGCUUGAAAAACUGUGAAAUGAUGCGGAUAUAUAGACGACACAAGAAGUAUAAAAAACAUUUAACUUAUAAAUACUAAACUUUAAUACGAGUUAUACCAAUCAACGGCUGAUUUAACAAAGCUUGAAAAAAUCACUAUCCGGUGGAUAGCGCUAUCCAGCCUUCGU